rnacentral:rRNA from 1 species
UACGAAGGGGGCUAGCGUUGCUCGGAAUCACUGGGCGUAAAGGGUGCGUAGGCGGGUUUUUAAGUCAGGGGUGAAAUCCUGGAGCUCAACUCCAGAACUGCCUUGAUACUGAAGAUCUUGAGUCCGGGAGAGGUGAGUGGAACUGCGAGUGUAGAGGUGAAAUUCGUAGAUAUUCGCAAGAACACCAGUGGCGAAGGCGGCUCACUGGCCCGGUACUGACGCUGAGGCACGAAAGCGUGGGGAGCAAACAGG